rnacentral:rRNA from 1 species
GAUGAACGCUGGCGGCGUGCCUAAUACAUGCAAGUCGAGCGAACGGACGAUAAGCUUGCUUCUCUGAUGUUAGCGGCUGACGUGUGAGUAACACGUGUAUAACCUACCUAUAAUACUUGUAUAACUUCGGGAAUCCGUAUCUAAUACCGUAUAAUAUUUUGAACCGCAUUGUUCAAAAGUUAAUGACGGUCUUUCUGUCACUUAUCGAUUUAUCCGCGCGUCAUUAUCUAGUUGGUAAGUUAACGGCUUACCAAGUCAACUAUGCAUAGCCGACCUGAGAGGGUGAGCGGACACACUGGAACGGAGACACGGUACAGACUACUACGGGAGGCAGCAGUAGGGAAUCGUCCGCAAUGGGCGAAAGCAUGACGGAGCAACGCCGCGUGAGUGAUGAAGGUCUUCGGAUCGUAAAAAUCUGUUAUUAGGGAAGAACAAAUGUGUAAGUAACUGAGCACAUAGUGACGGUAACUAAUCAGAAAGAAACGGCUAACUACGUG